AUGGCGGCAGAAGAAAGGGCUUCUUGGCGUGGUCCCUGCCGGUGGGGGUGGGUGCCCAGGGGGCCCCUGCCCGUGGCCAGCUUCCUGCUGAUGGCCUGGGCCGGCCCUCGUUGGCACGCCUACAGGUGUGGGGUGGAUGGCUCUGGUGCCAGCCCCGGGCGGGGGGGUGGUGCUGUGACUCAGCCGGCCUGUAGCUUCAGCGUGCCAGCCCUCAGCCCAGCCAUGCCUCCUGUGCCACCCCCCACUGCAGAGACACCCAAAGCUCCGAGCUGCCGGCCUGCAGCUUGGGCCUCUUCGCGCUCGGCUUUAUGGCAAUAGCGUCUGGAGGAGGCCAGCACAGGGGUAGCUAUGAGUCUGAACACGUGGUGAGGACUCAGUUACCUCAUCUGGAAAAUGGGACGAUAGUCUCUCCCCUUAGGGUUGUCAGGAUGAAAUGAGAUCACACGAGGGGAGGGCCUGGCUCCCAGUGUGCACUGCUGCGGCUGUUGCUAUUUUAACACUAAUUCACCGAAAUCUUACGAAGAUGUCUCCCAUCCUCUCCCCGGGCUGUGAAGCCCUCACCACCCCCUCUCUCCCUCUCCCCCGGGUGCCCCACCCUGCCCUGGCCUCCUGCUCCUGUCCCUGUCCAUGACAGCAUGGUCUCUGUUGGAGUCUUCGUCGUCCUGAGCCUCCCUGGGUCCCUUGUGUCUCUGGCUCUCUCACCUCUGGUCUGUUGGCCACAGGCGCGCACCUGCUGCCCUCCCCCUGAUGGAGCAUGUGCGGAGACGCCACCGGGCAGGCUGUGUGUCUUCAGCCGUCCUCAGCUGAGCCUUCACCCCAGGCACCCGGCACCCCCUCCUGGCUGAUGGGCAUGGUAGAAUGGGGGUUCAAGAGGCUGGGCGCACCGCACACUGGGCUAGAGAAGGCCUGACUGCUGAGUAACCCCUGCAUGGGCUCUCCUGAGUGGUGUGGGGGGGACAUCCGUGCGACAGGAGCCCUCGUGGCUGUGGCUUAGUGAAGUCAGUGGCCAUACUCGGGUGCUCUGUGACAUGGCACGUGUGAUGCUGUGACAUUGGGUGAUUCCACGUGUGUGACCAUAGCCACGCAGCACUGAUGUUGUAGGUCAUUGCUUGACGCUGUGAUAACACUGAGUGUGUGACACUGCAUCUGUGUGACGUGCGGCAGCCGUGCUGUGCCUGGU
rnacentral:lncRNA from 1 species